rnacentral:lncRNA from 1 species
CGGUGACUCACAGAGUACGAGCCCACCCACGGUCCCUCGGCGCCGCUCACAGCGGCUCAGCCACGGUGCCUCAGGACCGCCUCAGGGCCGCCGCCGUGCCCACACACCCACGCCACCCUUCGCCCUCACCGCUCCCGCCCCCGGUCUCCGCCCGACGCGGGGAGGAGCGGGAGGAGCGGCCGGGCUGUGCCGCGCCUGCGUCGCAGGCCCGGGGAAGUGGCCGCGCGCCGUGUGCGCAGCUGCCGCCGCUGCGUGGGGCCGCAGAUGGAGCCUCCCCCCGGCGCCGCAGGCUUCCUGUGGGAAACCCCCGUCGCUCUCCGCCGGCCCGCCGCACCAGCCGGAGAGGGCAGUGGCCCGGGCUGCGGCGCACCGCCGCUGGGUGCUGGGAAGGGCCACUCUGGAGGACUCCGGCCCGGCCUCCGCGAGGUUCCCGGCGGACUGGGACGUCCCCGCCGCCCUCAGCGGGCUCCCGCCGCCACCUCCCUCCUUGCCGCCCUGCCGCCGUGACCUCCAGCGGCAGGACGCGGGGCGAAGGCAGCUCCUGGGCGUCCAGGCGCCCGCGGGUGCCUGCCGGAGCCUCUCUGGCUGUGUAACAAACGUAAAGGCAAAGCACCAAGGUUAUGUGGUUCUCGGCUUCGUGCUACCGAGAUCUUGUCCGAAUGGUUAUAGACACGUGUCCGCAGGGGUGAAUGUAAGCCUCUGGCCUUUAUACGCAUGUAGUGUUCGCUCAUUGUGCCCAGGGUUCCCGAGUCAAGUGCCUCCGGCUUGGUGUCUUAAAAGGCCGUUCCCUACAAGUAAUGUAAGGUGUUGAGUCUCCCGUAGGUGGUGGUGAUCUGCGGUGGUCGUGGCUGUGCACCUUGGUCCCUGCCGCCUGUGGCUGCUUCUCCAAAAGCCAAAGGAUGUUGGCCAAGGCCAGGCUCUUGGUUUCUGAUGGAAGCUUGUCCUGAACCUGGGUCUCCAGGCCUUGCAGACAGAGCGUUCAUAAAGCAGUCAGGUUCUGGGUUUGUUGAUUGUACCCUCUAAGCAUUGAUAUGUUACUAAAUUAAGAAAAUGUUAUAAAACUUACCGCAGCAUUUCAAGUGGUGGAUGUUCAUCUGCAGUGUAAUUCUUAAAUAAAUGGUCCAUAAUGGGAUCAAACCCACAACCUUGGUGUUAUUAGCAGCAUGUUCUAACCAACUGAGCUAAUCCCAGCAAUUCAACUUGUUGUGAUUUCAGUGCAGAACAAAAUGCAUGGCACCAAACCACCAAGUCAUCAGCAUUCUGCUUCCCUAUUUAUCUAUAUAACAACAUUAUCUGUCCCUCCCAAACCAUUUUGUGGUUGUAUGUUAGCUGUAGUAGGACUGCUAAGGGUGUACUUUGUGUCCCUGCUAUGUUACACCAAUACAGAGAUUCAUCUCCUGAACAGUGACAUUGCUUACUGACACCUCUCUAAAUCUGUUACCUUGUUAUCCACUAUCUUUUGCUUCCCUCCUCCCACUCCCCAUCAGUUUCUGGCUUGUACAGCUCUGUUGAAAACCUCAGAAUGAACCAGAAGUGGAGAUGUCUAAGUGAGGCAGUAGAGAAACUGGAGCAAUAGCUGCAAGAGGUGUGAGCUGCCCUUUUUGCGUUAGUAAGGUGUUAACCCAAAUACCCUGGUGUGGUAGGUUUUAAUGUCAUCAUUGUUAACUGCUCAUAUACGAGAAAAAAGAGGGAGGAUAACAGUUCUGUAAAUUGUUAAUGUGACUGAUCCUUCAUUUUAUGGUCACAAAAGACACAAGUAUUCUCAUGGCUUGGAAGGGCAGUAGGGAGUGAAUAUCAAGGAGUCCUCUGAAGUUCAGGUUGUAGAACCUGUGAAUUAUGUCAUUAUUUGUAUAGGAGAAGUUUUUUGAUAGCCACAGUUUGGGAAGAAACUGUGGUUGUGUCAC